CAGGAUGACUCCGGCUACCUCCUGACGCCGGGGCUCGGGUCCGUCGGCGGCGCGGCGGCUGUAAAGUACGGCAGCGUGCUGCUCCCAGACAUCACGCGGCCCAACAUCGUGGAGUCGCUGCUCAUGGUGUCCCUGCCCAUGGCAGCCGCCGUCCUCAUCUUGCUCAAGCUCAGCUCCACUUCCACACGGGACUAG
rnacentral:rRNA from 1 species